CAGUAGCCACGGUAAAACGUAGGGCGCAAGCGUUAUCCGGAAUUAUUGGGCGUAAAGAGCUCGUAGGCGGUUUGUCGCGUCUGCCGUGAAAGUCCGGGGCUCAACCCCGGAUCUGCGGUGGGUACGGGCAGACUAGAGUGAUGUAGGGGAGACUGGAAUUCCUGGUGUAGCGGUGAAAUGCGCAGAUAUCAGGAGGAACACCGAUGGCGAAGGCAGGUCUCUGGGCAUUAACUGACGCUGAGGAGCGAAAGCAUGGGGAGCGAACAGGAUUAGAUACCCGCGUAGUCCCUGUCUCUUAUAC
rnacentral:rRNA from 1 species